rnacentral:rRNA from 1 species
CGCGGUAUUUUGACCGUGCGAAGGUAGCAUAAUCAUUAGUCUUUUAAUUGGAGGCUUGUAUGAAGGGUUGGACGAGAAGCUAGCUGUCUCUGUUAAGAAAAUACAAUUUAACUUUUAAGUGAGAGGGCUUAAAUAUUUUAAAGGGACGAUAAGACCCUAUAAAGUUUGACAUUUUUUUUAUUGAGAGAUAAAAUAGAAGUUUAAUAUUUAUUAAUAGGAUGUUGUUUUGUUGGGGUGACUAGAAUAUAAAAAAUUUAACUGUUUUAUAUUAUUACAAAGAUUUUUGAGUUUAUGAUCCUUGGUAAAGAUAUGAGAAUAAAUUACUUUAGGGAUAACAGCGUAAUUUUUUUUGAGAGUUCUUAUCGACAAAAAAGUUUGCGACCUCGAUGUUGAAUUAAAGGAUUCAUUAUGGUGUAGGCGCUAUAAGAGAAGGUCUGUUCGACCUUUAA